AUGGUUUACGGUGGAUGCCUUGGGGCCAAGGGCCGAUGAAGGGCGCGGCAAGACUGCGAUAAGCCUCGGUUAGCUGUCUAGCGAGCUUAGCCGGGGGUUCCCGAAUGAGGAAAAUCAUCCUGGGUCAUACCAGGAUACUCCGUAAGGAGAGGUAAGUGGGUGAAGUGAAACAUCUCAGUAACCCGAGGAAAAUAAAUCAACCGAGAUUCCCUUAGUAGCGGCGAGCGAAAGGGGAACUAGCCCAAACCAGUCAGACUUAGUGGAUUGAGGUCCUAUGCCUGUCUGGGGUUGUAACGAAUAUCUGUCUGAACCUCGAAUAAGACAAGGAGUAAGAAACCUUAAUUCUAACCAAAAGAAUCUGGAAAGAACUACCAUAGAGGGUAAUAGUCCCGUAGGUGAAAGAUGAGAGGCUCCUGAUAUUUUGUUGAGUACGGCGGGACACGAGAAAUCUUGCCGGAAGCUGGGGGGACCACCCUCCAAGGCUAAAUACUCUUGGCCACCGAUAGUGAACAAGUACCGUGAGGGAAAGGUGAAAAGUACCCCGGGAGGGGAGUGAAAUAGACCUGAAACCGUAAACCUACAAGCCGUGGAAGGUACAAUUUAUUGUACUGACUGCGUGCCUAUUGAAGAAUGAGCCGGCGAGUUAAUUUAGAUAGCAAGGUUAAGGGAUAAGAGUUCUGGAGCCGAAGCGAAAGCGAGUCCGAAUAGGGCGUUUAGUUGUCUGGAUUAGACCCGAAACCGGGUGAGCUACCCAUGGCCAGGUUGAAGCGCGGUUAAGCCCGCGUGAAGGACCGAACCCGUGUCUGGUACAAAAGGCUGGGAUGAGCUGUGGGUAGGGGUGAAAUGCCAAUCGAACCCGGUGAUAGCUGGUUCUCCUCGAAAUGUAUUUAGGUACAGCCUCAAGGUAGUCUUGGGGAGGUAGGGCUCUGGAUGAGCUAGGGGGCGUGAGCCUACCAAACUCAACCAAACCACGAAUGCCUCAAGAUGUUCCUUGGGAGUGAGACAGUGGGGGAUAAGCUUCAUUGUCAAAAGGGAAACAGCCCAGACCGCAGGCUAAGGUCCCUAAGUGUAGACUAAGUGGGAAAGGAAGUGGGAUUCCACAAACAGCUGGCAGGUUGGCUUAGAGGCAGCCAUCCUUUAAAGAGUGCGUAAUAGCUCACCAGUCGAGGGACCCUGCGCCGAAAAUGUAACGGGGCUAAAGUCUACCACCGAAGCCGCGGGUUCUGCAUUUGCAGAACGGUAGAGGAGCGUUGCCAGGGCGUCGAAGUUAACGUGUGAACGUUGGUGGAGCGCUGGGAAGUGAGAAUGCCGGCAUGAGUAGCGACAAUUCUGGUGAGAAUCCAGGACACCGAAAGACUAAGGUUUCCUCUGCAACGCUGAUCGGCAGAGGGUAAGUCGGGCCUAAGCUGUAGCGAGUAAGCGAAAGCGAUGGACAGCAGGUCAAAAUUCCUGCACCGCUAAUAUAUCGUUAUGCAAAGGGGUGACGCGGACAGGUAGGCGGAGCGCGCCAAUGGACAUGGUGCGUUUCAUCCAAAGAAGGCCAUGUAGAGAUAGGAAAAUCCGUUUUUACGUUAUGAGCUGAGAGGAUGGAAAAUCACAGGGCAUUCGCCCUGGGAAAUUUCGUUGAUCCUAUGCCGCCAAGAAAACCCUCGUUGAUAGAUAUUCUGGCGCCCGUACCGCAAACCGACACUGGUAGUCUGGGGUAAAUGUCCCAAGGUGUCCGAGAGAACCUUCGUUAAGGAAUUCGACAACUUAGCCCUGUAACUUAGGGAGAAAGGGUACCCGUGUGGUGAUACCACUUGCUGGUUGAGCUAUCGCGGGUCGCAGUUAAGAGGCUCAGGCGACUGUUUAGCAAAAACACAGGUCUCUGCAAAGCUGAAAAGCGAAGUAUAGGGGCUGACGCCUGCCCAGUGCCGGAAGGUUAAGGAGCGAGGUUAGGUCUUUAAGACCGAAGCUUUAAACUGAAGCCCCGGUGAACGGCGGCCGUAACUCUAACGGUCCUAAGGUAGCGAAAUCCCUUGUCGGGUAAGUUCCGACCCGCACGAAUGGCGUAACGACCUGAGCGUUGUCUCAACGAAGGACUCGGUGAAAUUGCAAUACCCGUGAAGAUGCGGGUUACCCGCGACAGGACAAAAAGACCCCGUGGAGCUUUACUGUAGCUUGGCAGUGAAUUGUGGCCAUAGAUGUGUAGGAUAGUCGGGAGACUAUGAAGUUUGAACGCCAGUUCAGAUGGAGUCAACCUUGAAAUACCGAUCUUCUGUGUUUGCGGUUCUAACUUCGCAUAGCGAAGGACCCUGCCUGGUGGGCAGUUUGACUGGGGCGGUCGCCUCCCAAAAGGUAACGGAGGCG
rnacentral:rRNA from 1 species